UAUGUUGCCCUCCAGGAAAUGUAUGUCACUCUGUAGUAAUUAGGCUGACAUACAUUUCCCUGGUGGCAA
rfam:Pteropus alecto contig17826, whole genome shotgun sequence.